rnacentral:rRNA from 1 species
CGACCGGCGCACGGGUGAGUAACACGUAUGAAACCUGCCCGUAGCAGGGGGAUAAGCGGAAGAAAUUCCGUCUAAUACCGCGUAACAACCCAUGGAGGCAUCUCUGUGGGUUUAAAGGAAGCGAUUCCGGCUACGGAUGGUCAUGCGUCGCAUUAGCUUGUUGGCGGGGUAACGGCCCACCAAGGCGACGAUGCGUAGGAGUUCUGAGAGGAAGGUCCCCCACACUGGUACUGAGACACGGACCAGACUCCUACGGGAGGCAGCAG